rnacentral:rRNA from 1 species
CCAGACUCCUACGGGAGGCAGCAGUGGGGAAUAUUGCACAAUGGGGGAAACCCUGAUGCAGCGACGCCGCGUGAGUGAAGAAGUAUCUCGGUACGUAAAGCUCUAUCAGCAGGGAAGAUAAUGACGGUACCUGACUAAGAAGCCCCGGCUAACUACGUGCCAGCAGCCGCGGUAAUACGUAGGGGGCAAGCGUUAUCCGGAUUUACUGGGUGUAAAGGGUGCGUAGGUGGCAGGGCAAGUCAGAUGUGAAAGCCCGGGGCCCAACCCCGGUACUGCAUUUGAAACUGUCCGGCUGGAGUGCAGGAGAGGUAAGCGGAAUUCCUAGUGUAGCGGUGAAAUGCGUAGAUAUUAGGAGGAACACCAGUGGCGAAGGCGGCUUACUGGACUGUAACUGACACUGAGGCACGAAAGCGUGGGGAGCAAACAGGAUUAGAUACCCCUGUA